AGCGAACGCUGGCGGCAGGCUUAACACAUGCAAGUCGAGCGGGCACUUUCGGGUGUCAGCGGCGGACGGGUGAGUAACGCGUGGGAACGUGCCCUCUGGCUCGGAAUAACUCAGGGAAACUUGAGCUAAUACCGGAUACGCCCUUUUGGGGAAAGGCUUGCUGCCGGAGGAUCGGCCCGCGUCUGAUUAGCUAGUUGGUGAGGUAACGGCUCACCAAGGCGACGAUCAGUAGCUGGUCUGAGAGGAUGAUCAGCCACACUGGGACUGAGACACGGCCCAGACUCCUACGGGAGGUAGCAGUGGGGAAUAUUGGACAAUGGGCGCAAGCCUGAUCCAGCCAUGCCGCGUGAGUGAUGAAGGCCUUAGGGUUGUAAAGCUCUUUUAUCCGGGACGAUAAUGACGGUACCGGAGGAAUAAGCCCCGGCUAACUUCGUG
rnacentral:rRNA from 1 species